CCUACGGGGUGCAGCAGUGGGGGAUAUUGCACAAUGGGGGAAACCCUGAUGCAGCGACGCCGCGUGGGCGAAGAAGUAUUUCGGUAUGUAAAGCCCUAUCAGCAGGGAAGAAGAAAUGACGGUACCUGAGUAAGAAGCACCGGCUAAAUACGUGCCAGCAGCCGCGGUAAUACGUAUGGUGCAAGCGUUAUCCGGAUUUACUGGGUGUAAAGGGAGCGUAGACGGCAGUGCAAGUCUGGAGUGAAAGGCGGGGGCUCAACCCCCGGACUGCUCUGGAAACUGUACGGCUGGAGUGCAGGAGAGGUAAGUGGAAUUCCUAGUGUAGCGGUGAAAUGCGUAGAUAUUAGGAGGAACACCAGUGGCGAAGGCGGCUUACUGGACUGUAACUGACGUUGAGGCUCGAAAGCGUGGGGAGCAAACAGGAUUAGAUACCCCAGUAGUC
rnacentral:rRNA from 1 species